rnacentral:rRNA from 1 species
AGCGAACGCUGGCGGCAGGCCUAACACAUGCAAGUCGAACGCGUGUAGCAAUACACGAGUGGCAGACGGGUGAGUAACACGUGGGAACGUGCCCUUCGGUUCGGAAUAACUCAGGGAAACUUGAGCUAAUACCGGAUACGCCCUUACGGGGAAAGAUUUAUCGCCGAAGGAUCGGCCCGCGUCUGAUUAGCUAGUUGGUGAGGUAACGGCUCACCAAGGCGACGAUCAGUAGCUGGUCUGAGAGGAUGAUCAGCCACACUGGGACUGAGACACGGCCCAGACUCCUACGGGAGGCAGCAGUGGGAAUAUUGGACAAUGGGGGAAACCCUGAUCCAGCCAUGCCGCGUGAGUGAUGAAGGCCCUAGGGUUG